CCUGUGUACACACACAUGUGUAUACAUACAGGUGUACACACACACACACGUGUACACACACACGUCUACACACACACCUGUGUACACACACGUGUAUACAUACAGGUGUACACACACACCGAUGUACAGAUGCUCGCGUGGCGAGUGGACUUUACGAUGCAGAGAGAGGGAUGAUGAUACAUAAAACGGAAAGCACUUCUAUAGCCAAGAGGACACUUUAAACGGUUUUUAAACUGAACACGUGAACACGUGAGUAGAGGAAAAGGAGAAGAAUAAAAAUCCGCGGAAGUUCCGAACUCUGACCCCGGAGUCGCGAGCGGCUGCCGCAGAUUUCAUAGCGCGUGACCCUGAGUCGAAAAAAACCUGCGGUGAACUUUAACCUCUGGACUUUUUUAUUAUAUAUUUUUUUUAUAUUUCACGUCGCUUGCUUUGACUUAUUUUGUUUAGAACGUCUCGCUUGUAUCUUUAUGGGCACGAUGAACGAGCUCCCGGCGUACAUUGGACAUUUGAGAGAGCACGUGUGUGCAACAAUGAGAUGUGUCAUCCGACUUACGACCCUGGACAGCGGCGGUUCUUCAGCUGGGUCCACAUCUGAGCGAUUAGCUGCGUAACCGACCAAAAUCACCGAGCCAAUCUCUUGAGAGUAGAUGAUGUAAUUGGCAACGUUUCGGGACAUGGCCCUUCUUCCUGACGUGCUACGAGGAAGGGCCAUUGCCGAGAAACGUCACCUGUAUCUUUCUGUUUGAAGGAAGUAUUAUUGACACGGAAUGUGUUGAGUUUGUUUUCUUGACUGCGCUUUCGCGCCACUGCCAGCGUAGCAGCAGCAGCAACAGCAGCAUCACGACGUGCUCGGUCUCACCGUGAGAGUAAACUUCUCGACUACAGGCAACCGGUUGCGCGACUCAGCGUGGGUGACCACGUACUGUGCUGGUGAAUCCCAAGUUAGACGAAACCGGUUCGCAGUCGUGAAUCGCUGCCUCGCUGCUGCUGCUGCUGCUGUCAGACGGUCGCAUUUGCUCAAAUUGAUGUUGAUGGUCACCGAAUACAAGAGGGCUACAGUGCAGUUCUGCUGUUUUUUUUCUCUCCAUAAUGCACACAUAUCUGUGUCUGCUCUUUUACAAGUUUUUUGUUUGUUUGUUGCGGUCUUGUUCGAAACUUGCCCAACCGGUUGCACAGACGUCCACGGACGGGCGAUUCAGUCGCAUGCGACCAAGUUGCAUGCGACCAGGUUGCGCAACUCCUCGCUCAGGGGUUGAACGGUCUUUAAAGGUCGCGUAGCUACCGCUCCACUCCUCCUGCACACUAUUGUGUGUCCCAGGUUGUCCAGCACGAGUUUGAAACGUUCAACAAAGAAGAUAAAUACUUUAAAGUUACUGUCAGAAGCGCGGUUAUUUGCUCGCCGGAGACAUCAUCACAGUUAGUCGACGAUCGAUCGACGGGGUCGCGUGCUGUGGAGGUCACGUGGUGGCUACCGCCACCCCUUCCGAGUUGUACAGCCAGCGAGCAAGAAUCGGCCAAAAAUACCCUCGCGCGACAGAGGCCUCCAGUGGAGACCCCUUCCGCCAGCGGCGGCGUGCGCCGGCAAUUGCAGAGCUGCGCCUUUGCCACCGAGCGAUAGCGUCGCGGCGACGGGCGCGCGAUCUGACGAUGCCUAUUGUGACGUCAUUGUAGAUUCCAUGGCGAAGCUACUGCCUCUAACUUUGAAGUAUUUUUUUCCGUGCGUUAACCAACUCGCGUGGGUCGCCCAGGCCACUCUGGGCCGUGGAGCUGCAAGGUAACGAGCUGUGUGCGCGUCUCAGUCACUGGGAUCGUCAACAGCAAGUCGAAGGGAUUGCUUCGCUUGAGCGAGAUGACGAAACUGCACAAUCCGCCUUCUGCACGCGUGAUCGCCUGCGUCCUAAGUGGUAUUUCUCACGUUCUGGUUCCCUUAUUUUUUCUUCUGCUCCUUCAAUUUGUUAUUUUACUCGGCGACGAGUUUAAUGAACUUGCGACUGUGAGGAAGAAUGCGUGGGACGAUGAAACUAUGGCAAUCAAUUGGCGCGCGCGAGGCGGAACGAUGGCUCCGAGUUCUGGGUGCCACCCCAGGGAGUGUCCCCGUCACCCCCACACACCGCCCGUGCGGUCGCCGCGAGCGACCAAACCGCGACACGCGAGCGAGAAAGUGGCGGCAGUGGUCGGGGCGAGGCGCCAGAGUGGGGGGGGGGGGGGUUGGGGGCGAGACGUUGGGGUUAGAGUCCGGGCUAGGGCUGGUGGUCGGGGCUGUUCAGCAAAUAGGUUAGGGUUAGUUGGGGGGGGGGGGCCUCGGGAUUAGGGGUAAGGCUCGUGAUAGUAGAUGGCUAGAUAGUAAGGUUUAGGGGUAAGACUCGUGAUAGUGCAUGGCUAGAUAGUAAGGUUUAGGGGUAAGGCUCGUGAUAGUGAAUGGUUAGAUAGUAAGGUUUAGGGGUAAGAUUAGUGAUAGUGGAUGGCUAGAUAGUAAGGUUUAGGGGUAAGGCUCGUGAUAGUGAAUGGCUAGAUAGUAAGGUUUAGGGGUAAGGCUCGUGAUAGUGGAUGGCUAGAUAGUAAGGUUUAGGGGUAAGACUCGUGAUAGAGGAUGGCUAGAUAGUAAGGUUUAGGGGUAAGGCUCGUGAUAGUGGAUGGCUAGAUAGUAAGGUUUAGGGGUAAGACUCGUGAUAGUGCAUGGCUAGAUAGUAAGGUUUAGGGGUAAGACUCGUGAUAGAGGUUGGCUAGAUAGUCAGGUUUAGGGGUAAGACUCGUGAUAGUGCAUGGCUAGAUAGUUAGGUAGGGGUAAGACUCGUGAUAGUGCAUGGCUAGAUGGUAAGGUUUAGGGGUAAGACUCGUGAUAGUGGAUGGCUAGAUAGUAAGGUUUAGGGGUAAGACUCGUGAUAGAGGAUGGCUAGAUAGUAAGGUUUAGGGGUAAGGCGAGUGAUAAUGGCUGGCUAGAUAGUAAGGUUUAGGGGUAAGACUCGUGAUAGAGGAUGGCUAGAUAAUAAGGUUUAGGGGUAAGACUCGUGAUAGAGGAUGGCUAGAUAGUAAGGUUUAGGGGUAAGACUCCUGGUAGAGGCUGGCUAGAUAGUAAGGUUUAGUGGUAAGACUCGCGAAAGUGCAUGGCUAGAUAGUAAGGUUUAGGGUUAAGACUCGUGAUAGUGGCUGGCUAGAUAGUAAGGUUUAGGGGCUAAGACUCGUGAUAGUGGAUGGCUAGAUAGUAGGGUUUAGGGGUAAGGCGAGUGAUAGUGGAUGGCUAGAUAGUAAGGUUUAGGGGUAAGACUCGUGAUAGUGGAUGUCUAGAUAGUAAGGUUUAGGGGUAAGACUCGUGAUAGUGGCUGGCUAGAUAGUAAGGUUUAGGGGUAAGGCUCGUGAUAGAGGCUGGCUAGAUAGUAAGGUUUAGGGGUAAGACUCGUGAUAGAGGAUGGCUAGAUAGUAAGGUUUAGGGGUAAGACUCGUGAUAGUGCAUGGCUAGAUAGUAAGGUUUAGGGGUAAGGCUCGUGAUAGUGAAUGGUUAGAUAGUAAGGUUUAGGGGUAAGAUUAGUGAUAGUGGAUGGCUAGAUAGUAAGGUUUAGGGGUAAGGCUCGUGAUAGUGAAUGGCUAGAUAGUAAGGUAUAGGGGUAAGGCUCGUGAUAGUGGAUGGCUAGAUAGUAAGGUUUAGGGGUAAGGCUCGUGAUAGUGAAUGGCUAGAUAGUAAGGUUUAGGGGUAAGACUCGUGAUAGAGGAUGGCUAGAUAGUAAGGUUUAGGGGUAAGACUCGUGAUAGUGCAUGGCUAGAUGGUAAGGUUUAGGGGUAAGACUCGUGAUAGUGGAUGGCUAGAUAGUAAGGUUUAGGGGUAAGACUCGUGAUAGAGGAUGGCUAGAUAGUAAGGUUUAGGGUUAAGGCGAGUGAUAGUGGCUGGCUAGAUAGUAAGGUUUAGGGGUAAGACUCGUGAUAGAGGAUGGCUAGAUAAUAAGGUUUAGGGGUAAGACUCGUGAUAGAGGAUGGCUAGAUAGUAAGGUUUAGGGGUAAGACUCGUGAUAGUGGCUGGCUAGAUAGUAAGGUUUAGGGGUAAGACUCGUGAUAGUGGCUGGCUAGAUAGUAGGGUUUAGGGGUAAGGCGAGUGAUAGUGGAUGGCUAGAUAGUAAGGUUUAGGGGUAAGACUCGUGAUAGUGGAUGUCUAGAUAGUAAGGUUUAGGGGUAAGACUCGUGAUAGUGGCUGGCUAGAUAGUAAGGUUUAGGGGUAAGGCUCGUGAUAGAGGCUGGCUAGAUAGUAAGGUUUAGGGGUAAGACUCGUGAUAGAGGAUGGCUAGAUAGUAAGGUUUAGGGGUAAGACUCGUGGUAGAGGAUGGCUUGAUAGUAAGGUUUAGGGGUAAGGCUCGUGGUAGAGGAUGGCUAGAUAGUAAGGUUUAGGGGUAAGACUCGUGGUAGUGGAUGGCUAGAUACUAAGGUUUAGGGGUAAGACUCGUGAUAUAGGAUGGCUAGAUAGUAAGGUUUAGGGGUAAGACUCGUGAUAGAGGCUGGCUAGAUAGUAAGGUUUAGGGGUAAGACUCGUGGUAGAGGAUGGCUUGAUAGUAAGGUUUAGGGGUAAUGCUCGUGGUAGAGGAUGGCUUGAUAGUAAGGUUUAGGGGUAAGACUCGUGGUAGAGGAUGGCUUGAUAGUAAGGUUUAGGGGUAAGGCUCGUGGUAGAGGAUGGCUUGAUAGUAAGGUUUAGGGGUCAGGCUCGUGGUAGAGGAUGGCUUGAUAGUAAGGUUUAGGGGUAAGGCGAGUGCUGUACUUUCGUUGGUUGGUUGGUGUGGGGUAGGGCUCAUGUCUGGUUGUCGAGUGUGCUUAGGGUUGGGGGGGGGCAGUUGUCUGGCUGCAUUGUUCCAGGGCGAGUCGUGUAAUCUAUUGCAAGAGUGGGGGGGUUAGCAUCUGGCCGGCUUGUGUGGGUUAGCGGUAGGGGGCUGAGCUCGUGUCCGAUUGGCUGGUCCGUGAGCGAUUGCAGAGCGAGUGCUCGAGUUAUGCUGGGUGUUAGGGUAGGGCUGCUUGGCCACGCCAGGAGGCUUGUGUCUGCUUGGCUGGUGUCCACAGGGAUUUAGGGGCUGGGGUCUGGUUGGCCAAUGUGUUCGGGACGGGGCUAGUCUUGCGUUCAGUUAUGGUCAUGGUGGGGCUACGGUCGGGCUUAGUUUGAGAGGUUUAGGGGCUAGAGCUUGCGGCAUGGUGGCUAGUUAGGGCAGGGCUGGUGUCUGGAUGGCUCGUGUGGCUAGGCUCAGGGAUAGAGCCAGUGUCUGGCCGCGAGUGACCCCCUGCGUUCUCGCAGCCAGCCCCUUCCACGGUCUCCCCCCACUGCCACUCUGAGUUCGUUUUCCGCUGGUUUUGUGUCGCAGCAGGAGCGCCGUUGGUGCGUGUGUGUGCGGUCUGGUGAGGGUGGCGAGGGUGGAUGCUGUUUCACGCUCUCCCACCGACGCUCACCACUCCUACCUGCGCUCACCAUGGAGGGGGUGGGGGAGGGGGGAGGAAUCCUGUAGUAUAAUUACUACUACCGUAACGACAAGAACCACUAUCACCAUUAUUCACAUUGAUCGUUGCAAGCGUCUCCUUGCUGUCAGGCCAGCGGUGGGCGCAUCUCACCUCAGCUGGCAGUUCGAAGCAAGUGGUGCAAAUUCCACAUUUCUGUGAUGAAGAGUGUGGAGGUUUAGGGGUCGAGGGUGUGAGUUUGGGGGUGGGGGGGUAAGUCUCAUUGGACAACCACGUGACUACCCGCAAGGUGAUGUUGCAAAUAUAACCGCCGACGAUGAUUAUAAUCAGGAUGACGUUGACGAUGUUGAGGAUCAUCAUGGGUCUGAGUUGAACCCAGGACCGGAUAUGAACUGCGCGCUGACGUGCAGGUGGCGAGUUGCGCGCGCUGGUCAUACCACCGGCUGCUUGGUCUGACGUCGACAUCACUGUGAUGGUGGUGUGAUGGUGGUGUGAUGGUGGUGUGAUGGUUGUUAUUGCGCUCGGGGUUUGAUGGUCUAUCGCCUGCUUUGUGCAUCCCGACUCCCCGUCUCUGGGCCUAAAUGAAGACUGCCACUGUCUAUUUUUUACAUUUUCAUUUGGCAGGAUAAUAAGAUGAGAUUAUAACGAUGACGACGAUGAUCGAGAGAUGGAGGAAGACGGGGAGAGAGAGAGAGAAAAUAGACUAACUAGACAUUUCUGAAUUUUUUGCCGGGAGGCUACUACAGUGACCUCUCGUCAUUUUUCUUGAGAAUAAAAGAUGUUUUGGGGGUCGUCCGACGACAAUGUAAAUAGGCCAGGCUUAGCGUGGAGAGAAUAUCGUGGACUUUUAACAAACAAACAAAAAAAUCUCAAUUCUGUGUUUGUGUGUCCCGUCUGUCCUUUCUGUCCGUUCGGCAUGAAAUGAAAUCCAGGAAAGCCAUGUUGUUUGAAGCGCAUUACGUUUUCACAUUAUGUUGAUAUCGUUAUAAUAACAAGAAUUAUUAUGGGUUGUUAUUGUUGUUGUUUGUUGUUGUUUCAUUUACGAACACUUCACCGUCGUUUGUCAACGUUUCGAAGACUCGACCCUUCUUACUCCCCGUUGCCAAAAGGUCACGUGAGGUGACGUCCUCUCUUGCGGUGAGCCACACGGCGAUACAGUAGCUCCCGCCUCAUUUGUUUACCCACAGCAAACAACAACAAACAACAAGCAAAAGACUUGAUAGGAACAGCAUAACAUUGUUUUUUAAAAGUAUUUUUGUUGUUCAGAUGUUACUCCUGCAACAAAACAAACAUUUCAUGGGUCUGUUGUGAACAGAUUUAG